UCGACCAAUGAUGAGUAUUCUAGGGUGUCUGAGUCAGUGAUUUUGAUUAAACCCUGUAACUCUGAGCUCCAC
rnacentral:snoRNA from 1 species